rnacentral:rRNA from 1 species
AUUGAACGCUGGCGGCAGGCCUAACACAUGCAAGUCGAACGGCAGCACAGAAGAGCUUGCUCUUUGGGUGGCGAGUGGCGGACGGGUGAGUAAUGUCUGGGAAACUGCCCGAUGGAGGGGGAUAACUACUGGAAACGGUAGCUAAUACCGCAUAACGUCGCAAGACCAAAGUGGGGGACCUCCGGGCCUCACACCAUCGGAUGUGCCCAGAUGGGAUUAGCUAGUAGGUGGGGUAAUGGCUCACCUAGGCGACGAUCCCUAGCUGGUCUGAGAGGAUGACCAGCCACACUGGAACUGAGACACGGUCCAGACUCCUACGGGAGGCAGCAGUGGGGAAUAUUGCACAAUGGGCGCAAGCCUGAUGCAGCCAUGCCGCGUGUAUGAAGAAGGCCUUCGGGUUGUAAAGUACUUUCAGCGGGGAGGAAGGCGGUGAGGUUAAUAACCUUGCCGAUUGACGUUACCCGCAGAAGAAGCACCGGCUAACUCCGUGCCAGCAGCAGCCGCAG